AACAAACGCUGGCGGCGUGCCUAAUACAUGCAAGUCGAACGGGGAAAGCUUUCGGGUGAGUACUAGUGGCGCACGGGUGAGUAACGCGUGGAUAAUCUGCCUUAGAGUGGGGGAUAACUAGUCGAAAGAUUAGCUAAUACCGCAUAAGACCACAAGAACUGCGGUUCAAGGGGUCAAAGGUUUUUCGCUCUAAGAUGAGUCCGCGUAAGAUUAGCUAGUUGGUAGGGUAACGGCCUACCAAGGCGACGAUCUUUAACUGGUCUGAGAGGAUGAUCAGUCACACUACGACUGAGACACGGUCCAGACUCCUACGGGAGGCAGCAGUAGGGAAUAUUGCCCAAUGGGGGAAACUCUGAUGCAGCGACGCCGCGUGAGUGAUGAAGGCCUUCGGGUCGUAAAGCUCUGUCGCAGGGGAAUAACACAAUGAAGGUACCCUGUAAGAAAGGAUCGGCUAACUGCGUGCCAGCCGCCGCGGUAAGAC
rnacentral:rRNA from 1 species